rfam:Lupinus angustifolius cultivar Tanjil chromosome LG09, whole genome shotgun sequence.
UAGUGCGAUCAUAUCAGCACUAAUGCAUUGAUCCCAUCAGUUGCAGUUAAGCAUGCUUGCUUGGACGAUAGUAGUACUAAGAUGGGUUAUCUCCUGGGAACUCCCCGUAUUGCACCUC